GGGUGGAAGACAGCCACAGGAAGGGAGCCCCUUACAGCAGCCUAUCCUGGCAACUUUUAACACCUCAGGGCUGAUCAUCACCACCACAUUACCAUUGCCUGUGACAACAGCCUGCUCUAUACUCUGCAACCUGUUGGUUCUGAGCUAUAGGCUACCGAGGGUCUAAGCUCGGCUUCCUGGUCUCUCCUGCCUGCUUCCUCACAGCUCUCUCUGGUCUCCCUAUCCCGCUCCUUUGAGGCAACCACUCUGCUUCAGCCCCUCAUUUGGAAUCAAGAAGAUCUGAGUUCAAACCUAGCAGCCAACACUUCUUAGUUGAGUAACCUCUCUCUGCCUCGGCUUCUUCAUUUAUAAAAUGGAGCUAGUAAUAGAAACAAAAUGAGAUAAUAAAAAGUACUUUGCAAACUUAAAGGGCCAUAUAAAAAUGUUAGUCAUGAUUAUAUCCAAAACAGAAUUUUCCCGUUCCCCCAAAUCUACUUCUCUUCUUAACUUUUCUAUUUCUGUUGAGGGAAUCAUUAAAUUUCCAGUCACUCAGAUUAGCAAUCCCACAGUUGCCUUUGUCUCUUUCUUUUCUCUCACCUCCCACACCCAAUUAGCUGUAACAACCUGUUGUUUCUAUAUAGCUCCACAAUAUCUGUCACAUCCACUCCUUUCAUUCCACUCACACAGUUAACAUUCUCACUCAGUCUCUCAUUACCUGUCACCUGGACUGUUGCAAUAACCUGAAAUAAGUGUUGUGAAAUGAACAGAACUGGGAAAAUGUUGUAGACCAUAAUGAUAAUAUUGUUUGAUGAAGAACUGUGAAUGACUUAGCUAUUCUCAGUAACACAAUGAUCCAAGACGAUUCCAAAGGAUUAAUGAUGAAGCAUUCUAUGAUACUAUUUGAAUAUAGAUUGAAGCAUACGGUUUUUACUUUCAUUUAAAAAAUUUUAAUUGGGUCUUCUUGUACAAAAUGACUAACAUGGAAAGGUUUACAUAAUUGCACACAUAUAACUUAUACCUGAUUGUUUACCAUUUCAGGGAGUGGGAAGGGGAGAGAGGGAAGGAUAGAAUUUGGAAUUCAAAACUUUAAAAAGAGAAUACAUUAGUGUAGAAGGAAUGAAAGUGGAAUUAUUUGCUAUUUCUCAUAACCAGGAUUCACAAACAAUAUAUAAAUAAUCAAGGGAGCUUAAUUUUUGGCACUUUAUUGUUUAAUUUUGUUGAAAAAAAUUAAAUAUAAAUAAAAUAAAAAUGAUUUUCAAAGACAAAAAAUUAUUGAUAUCCUCUCUCUUAUAUCAUCAUGAUUAUCCCAAGUAUUCCUCUCCCUCCUCUUCCCUAAAAGUGGUCCAUAAGACAAAAAGUAUUUUAGAGGGAAAAAUUAAUCACCAUAGAUCAAUACAC